AGUGAACGCUGGCGGUAGGCCUAACACAUGCAAGUCGAACGGCAGCACAGUAAGAGCUUGCUCUUACGGGUGGCGAGUGGCGGACGGGUGAGGAAUACAUCGGAAUCUACUUUUUCGUGGGGGAUAACGUAGGGAAACUUACGCUAAUACCGCAUACGACCUACGGGUGAAAGCAGGGGAUCUUCGGACCUUGCGUGAUUGAAUGAGCCGAUGUCGGAUUAGCUAGUUGGCGGGGUAAAGGCCCACCAAGGCGACGAUCCGUAGCUGGUCUGAGAGGAUGAUCAGCCACACUGGAACUGAGACACGGUCCAGACUCCUACGGGAGGCAGCAGUGGAGAAUAUUGGACAAUGGGCGCAAGCCUGAUCCAGCCAUACCGCGUGGGUGAAGAAGGCCUUCGGGUUGUAAAGCCCUUUUGUUGGGAAAGAAAAGCAGCAGGUUAAUACCCCGCUGUUCUGACGGUACCCAAAGAAUAAGCACCGGCUAACUUCGUG
rnacentral:rRNA from 1 species